GUGUCAACUAACCAACAUCGUUGCCUGGGUUGCAUAUGUGUGGGGCUGGUCUACCAAAGAAGGUCCAGAUUCUAUUGGGGUAAGGGUGUGUUUGUUUAGGUGAUUUCAAAAGUCCAUAUUGGCUUUUAGAGAUCAUGGCCCCCACCUUUAAUGUAACAGUAAAUUAUUAGUAAUAGAAGAAAUAUCUUUCCAUCUGCAAUGAUAUGUGUUCUGUAUUAGUGUGUUCUGUGUUAAUGUGUUACUCCUCCUUCUCCCCCUAGUGGAUACUAAAGAAAUUACAGUCACAUUUGUUCUGUGGCUUCUUUUAAUGACAUCAUCAGGAAGUGCCCAGUAAUGUCUUCAGUUAGCAGCUUCUGGUAUUUCAGAACCAGUCUAAGUCCAUCUGCUCACAUUUUAAGCUAUAAACGAGCAUCGUUGGUAUGUAAAUGUUCUUUAACAUGUCAUCUAUCUAUGCAGAGGAAUAUUUUCAUGUAAGAUGAGAUAUGUUAUUAAAAAUAGAUUUCCGGGUGUUCAUUUAUCCCGGCUGUGGCAUAAAUAGAAUAGUCUGAGCAAACUUAUGACUAAAUCCUUUAAAUAGUUAUUUCAUUGUGUAAAAUGACAAGUUGUGCUAGUAUUGUUUAAAACGUGAACAGACUUAAUGUGAAGAUUUAGUACUCAUUUAUGUAUAUUUUUGGUUUCAGUUUUACCCUACUUUUGUCAUCAUUAAAGAAGUGAAUGAUUCAUCUUCGUCCGGUGUGGUGAUUAGAAGAGGAGUUAAACUAUCUGUCAAUUUACACAAAGGGCUGUAAUAAGGACGGAACAGUAAAACAACGCCUCAUAAGCGAGCUGAUAUACAGCAGAUCUGGACCCCGCACGCUGCAGUUCUGAAAUAAAGGUAGCCAGCAUACACAAUGUCCCAAGACGAUGCAAAAUCAAGGGGCUCAUGGAUCACCAGAUCUCAAGCUUCCCGCACAUCCAGUCGCCAUAGCAGAUCUAGUGCAGCCGCAGCUAUGGCACGCGCAGAAGCGGAAGCAGCCAGAGCAAAAGUAGCAUAUGCUGAAAAGGAGAUGCAAAUCAAAAUUCAAAAAGCACAAUUGGAAGCAUCAUUGGAGAAACUGAAUGCAGAAAAGACAGCAGCUGCGGCCGUAGCCAAAGCAGAGGUUUUGGAGGCUGCUCUGGAGUUUGAGAAUGAUGGGUAUUGCUCCAAGCUAAAGUGUGGAUCGGAACAGCGAUCUUACAACCCCAUACAAAUGACUGAAGAGUAUGUACAAAAACAUAGUAUAUUGGACAGCAGUCUAAACCCAGAGUCACAACUACAGGGUUUCCCUACUUACACCCAACCUCAGCAUACACCCCCUCCGCAAGUGCCUACAACACUCACUUAUCAACCCACGCAGCUCAAGCCUGAAAGGAAUGAAGACCCACAGACUGAAACACACCAUUCUCCAAAAUGUUCUACCACAAUAAGCAAGAACCCCGCACAUGCACAAAUAGGAGAUGGAAAACACACUGAGUACUGGGGUCACAAAACGUAUGACAGCUAUCACCCUCCAUUAGCCACACCUAUAAAUACGCACCAACCAGCAUAUCAUGAUAGUCACAUAGGGGCUUAUGACGGCCGUCACUACCCGCCAAGUACGUCUGUCCACAGCGAACUACGAGACAAUGUGUUCAGAGGUUCGUCUGAUGAAAAUAAAAAUGUGACAGACUUUGUAAGCUUUCUUGCCAGACGAGAGCUGGUUUCAACAGGACUGUUGAAGUUCGAUGAUAAACCUGGAAACUACAGGGCAUGGAAGGCGUCUUUCCUGAACACUGUCAGAGGCCUCAAUCUUAGUGCAAAAGAAGAAAUAGAUUUGUUAGUAAAGUGGCUGGGGCCAGAGUCAGCAGAACAUGCGAAACGCUUGAGAGCUGUACACGUCAAUGACCCAGAAAAGGGGCUGUUAGUUGUGUGGGAGAGACUGGAAGAGUGCUAUGGUGCACCCGAAGUCAUUGAGGACGCACUAUGGAAGAGACUAGAUAACUUUCCAAGGAUUUCAAACAAAGACAAUCAGAAACUCAGGGAGCUCGCAGACUUGCUGACCGAGCUACAAGCUGUAAAAUCGGAAGGUGAACUCCCAGGCCUUGCAUAUCUAGACACAGCACGCGGUAUAAGCAAUAUCGUACAGAAGCUACCGUUUGCUUUGCAAGAAAGAUGGAUGACACAAGGCUCCAGCUACAAAGACAGCUACAGAGUUGCCUUCCCUCCAUUCUCUUUCUUUGUCAACUUUGUCUCCCAACAAGCAAGGACACGUAACGACCCAAGUUUCAUGUUUGUUCCUUGUACUGGAGAUCAGACCAAGACAGACAAAUAUACAAAUAAAAACAUGAGCUACCGUACUCCCGUAUCAGUCCAUAAAACUGACAUCUCAUCAGCCUCAGCUACUGCAACUGACCCUACACACACAAAGAUAGAAGACCCAGCAAAGACAUGUCCUAUUCAUAAGAAGCCCCACCCCCUUUACAAAUGCCGUGCGUUCAGAGAGAGACCCCUCGAGGAGAGAAAAGCCCUUUUGAAACAAAUUGGCAUCUGUUUUCAUUGUUGUGCGUCAACAUCUCAUUUCGCGAAGAACUGUGUAAAGAAUGUUAGAUGCACAGAGUGUGACGACGACAAACACCAUUCGAUCCUACACCCAGGGCCCGCUCCAUGGUCCAUCAAGACCCUAAAACUUACACACGAGCAUGGCGGGGAGGAUGAGAUCGUCGGUCCAAACGUUGCAGUGACUUCAAAGUGUACAGAAGUUUGUGGCGGAGACACGACUGAAAGAUCCUGUUCUAAGAUUUGUUUGGUCAGAGUCUUCCCUACCGGCCAAAAGGAGAAAGCAGUGGAGCUGUACAUCAUAUUGGAUGAACAGAGUAAUCGGUCCCUGGUAAGAUCGGAAUUCUUCGAGCUCUUCAAUGUUAAAGGCGACCGCUCUCCAUAUUCCCUCAGGACAUGUGCGGGCAUAGUGGAGAAGUCAGGGAGAAGAGCACACGGCUUCCAGGUACAGUCUUUGGAUGAGAAAGUCACUCUCUCCCUCCCUACUCUGAUAGAGUGCAAUCAAAUUCCCAACAACCGAUCUGAAAUUCCCACUCCAGAGGUAGCUGUCCAGCACACGCACCUAAAAUGUAUCGCAAAACAGAUUCCAACUUUACAUACCCAGGCACCCAUAAUGUUGCUGCUUGGCAGAGACCUCAUCAGAGUCCACAAAGUGCGUAAACAAAUUAAUGGCCCACACAACUCUCCAUACGCACAAAAGCUCGACUUGGGCUGGGUUAUAGUGGGCAGUGUCUGCCUUGGUAAAGUCCACAAACCAGACGUAGUGAACACCUUCUACACUAACACACUGGAGAAUGGACGAGCAUCCCUCUUCAAACCAUGCCCCAACCGCUACUUUGUGAAAGAAAUACAUGACAACACUGGGUCUCUCAUCUGCAAGGACCACAUAGGAUGCGCUGUUUUUCAGAGAUCCAAAGAUGACGACAAAAUUGCACCUUCAUUUGAAGACGCAGCGUUUCUGAACAUCAUGGAACUAGGGUUUUACAAAGAUAAAGAUAACAGUUGGACAGCUCCCUUACCUUUUAAGAUACCGAGACGCCACCUGCCCAACAACAAGGUUCAAGCUCUUAACCGUUUCAGAUCGCUGCAGCGGUCCUUUAACAGAAAACCAGAGCUGAAGGAGCACUUCUUCGCAUUUAUGCAAAAGAUAUUUCAAAAUGGACAUGCAGAAGAAGCCCCCAUGCUCGAACCUGAGGAGGAGUGCUGGUAUCUACCUAUUUUUGGGGUGUAUCACCCUAAAAAACCUGGGCAGAUCAGAGCAGUUUUUGACUCAAGUGCUAAGCACAACGGCGUUUCUCUUAAUGAUGUUCUCCUGACUGGUCCCGACCUUAAUAAUAACCUCCUGGGCGUGCUGCUUCGUUUCCGUCAGGACUCCAUUGCCAUCACAGCGGACAUCCAGCAGAUGUUCCACUGCUUCCUUGUCAGACCAGACCACAGGAACUUCUUACGUUUUCUGUGGUAUCAAGACAACGACUUUAACAAAGACAUCAAGGAAUAUAGAAUGCGCGUGCAUGUUUUUGGCAACAGUCCUUCACCGGCUGUUGCUAUCUUUGGAUUGAGGAAGACAGCACAAGAGGGAGAGGAGACCUUUGGAAGAGAUGUUAGAAGAUUCGUGGAGAGGAACUUCUACGUAGAUGAUGCAUUAAAAUCUCUACCUUCAGCUCCAGCUGCUAUCGAUCUGCUCAAAAGAGCACAGCAGAUGCUGGCAUGUUCCAACCUCAGGCUGCAUAAGAUCGCGUCAAACAAUGCAGAAGUCAUGGCAGCCUUCCCCUCAGACGACCAUGCCAGCAACCUAAAGGAUCUAGAUCCGGAAGCCGGUGAUCUCCCCAUGCAACGAAGUUUAGGUGUCAGUUGGGAUCUGAAGAAUGACACAUUUACAUUUCAGGUGUCUGAUGAACACAAACCUUUUACACGACGUGGAGUCUUGUCAACCAUUAACAGCCUGUAUGACCCCUUGGGAUUCGUCGCCCCGAUCUUGUUGCAGGGGAAAGCCAUACUUCGAGAAUUAACAGUUGACUGUCAUGACUGGGACGCACCGCUACCUGCCGAGAAAGAGCAGCUAUGGACAGCAUGGAGAGGAUCACUCCAAGAGCUCAUAAACCUACAGAUACCUAGGUCCUAUACAAAGGUCUCUCCAUCCACAGCCCAACGCAGAGAGCUCUGCAUUUUCUCGGAUGCAUCAGUCAAGUCAGUAGCAGCUGUGGCCUACUUAAGGCUCUUUGAUCAAGAUGGAAGCUUUCACGUAAGCUUUGUUUUUGGCAAAGCAAAACUAGCCCCUCGACCGGAAUUGACUAUUCCGCGGUUGGAACUAUGUGCUGCCGUGUUAGCAGUGGACAUCGCAGAGUUCAUUACUGCUGAGCUGGACAUUCAGCUAGAUGACAUCAGCUAUUUCACGGACAGUAAGGUAGUGUUGGGCUACAUCUACAAUGAAAAGCGCCGGUUCUAUGUCUUCGUGAACAACAGAGUGCAGCGGAUAAGAAGGUUUUCCAGCCCCACACAGUGGCACUUUGUAUCAACGGACAAUAAUCCUGCUGAUCAUGCAACGAGAUUCAUCUCAGCAGCACGCCUCAAAGACACCAUGUGGCUCACAGGUCCAGCUUUCCUGUCGCAGCCCCAGCAAAUGCACCUCCGACAGGGCACCUUUGACCUAGUGAAUCCGGAACAGGACGUAGAUGUCCGCCUUCUUGUAUAUACUCUGAGCACUACUGUCAGGGAAAGACUGCUUGGGUCCCAACGGUUUUGUCGUUUCUCAAGCUGGAAGUCGCUCACCCGUGCCAUUUCAUGUCUUACCCAUAUAGUCCUCCUCUACAAGAAGAAUACAGAAGGUUCUCGUGAUGGUUGCAAUGGAUGGCAUCACUGCGCCCAAGGUCACACGGUAGAGAUGCUCACCAAGGCCCAAAACACAAUCAUACGUACAGUUCAAGAGGAGACUUAUGCAAAAGAGCUGCAGUGUAUCAGGGAUCAAAUAUCUCUUCCACAGGACAGUCUCAUCAGAGCUCUGAGCCCUUUCAUUGACACGGAUGGUCUCAUUAGAGUGGGUGGACGUAUCACAGAGGCUAGUUUGGGAUAUGAGGAGAAGCAACCUAUAAUAGUUCCUGGUCGCCACCACAUUGCCACUCUUCUUGUGCGCUAUUAUCAUGAACAGACUCAACAUCAGGGACGCCUCUUUACAGAGGGUGCCAUUCGUUCUGCAGGCUUGUGGAUUGUGGGUGGAAAAAGGUGUGUGAACAGUCUCAUUUUCAGAUGUGUCACUUGUCGUAGACUCCGUCGCACCUGCGAAACUCAGAAAAUGGCCGACUUACCUGACUGCCGCCUUAACAUGGAUCCUCCAUUUUCAUAUGUGGGACUCGAUGUCUUUGGACCAUGGUCAGUCUCGUCACGACGCACACGGGGAGGUCAAGCAGACAGUAAAAGAUGGGCGGUCUUGUUCUGCUGUCUAAGCAUUCGUGCCAUCCACAUCGAAAUCAUCGAAUCUAUGGACACAUCUUCUUUUAUCAAUGCCUUGAGAAGGUUCAUCGCAAUUCGUGGACCGGUCAAACAGCUACGCUCAGACAGGGGAACCAACUUUGUCGGAGCCUGUCAUGAGCUAUUGAUUCCUUCCAACAUCAAUAAAAAAGUGGAGAGAUUUCUUACGGAUCAAGGUUGCAUGUGGGAGUUUAACCCCCCUCACGCCUCCCAUAUGGGCGGGGCCUGGGAAAGGAUGAUAGGGCUGACCCGCAAGAUCUUGGACUCAAUGUUCUUACAGCUGGGGUCUUCAAGAAUCACCCACGAGGUCCUAGUCACCUUGAUGGCUGAAGUGACAGCCAUUGUAAAUUCCAGACCGCUCAUACCAGUGUCUACAGAUCCAGAUGAUCCAUUUAUACUUACCCCUGCGACUCUGUUAACACAAAAAACUGGCCCCUCUCUUGCACCUCCAGGCGACUUCGAUGGCAAAGACUUGUACAGACGUCAGUGGAGACAGGUACAAAGUCUUGCCAACACCUUCUGGGACAAAUGGAGGAAACAAUACCUGUCCACUCUGCAGACGAGAAGGAAGUGGCAGUCUGACAAGCCAAAUCUCACUAAAGGGAGUUUAGUGCUCAUCAAAGUCAAUCAAGCCAAAAGAAACACAUGGCCUAUAGGGCGUAUCACAGAAGUGUUUCCCAGCAAGGAUGGCAGAGUUCGCAAAGUGGAAGUGAAGGUAGCACAUCCAGAUGGGGUUAAAGUGUACCUGAGGCCAGUUACAGAGUUGGUCCUCCUCUUACCAUCCGAAGACUAGACUAUGCCUGCCCUUUCAGACAUGUAUGAUAGAUUAAGUAAUGGUAUCCAGGGACACCAGACGGGGAGUGUUCUGUAUUAGUGUGUUCUGUGUUAAUGUGUUACUCCUCCUUCUCCCCCUAGUGGAUACUAAAGAAAUUACAGUCACAUUUGUUCUGUGGCUUCUUUUAAUGACAUCAUCAGGAAGUGCCCAGUAAUGUCUUCAGUUAGCAGCUUCUGGUAUUUCAGAACCAGUCUAAGUCCAUCUGCUCACAUUUUAAGCUAUAAACGAGCAUCGUUGUUUUACCCUACUUUUGUCAUCAUUAAAGAAGUGAAUGAUUCAUCUUCGUCCGGUGUGGUGAUUAGAAGAGGAGUUAAACUAUCUGUCAAUUUACACAAAGGGCUGUAAUAAGGACGGAA